ensembl:snRNA U6 U6 spliceosomal RNA
GUGCUCACUUCGGCAGCACAUACACUAAAAUUGGAACGAUACAGAGAAGAUUCACAUGGCCUCUGGGCAAGGAUGACACACAAAUGACCAUUCUCUCUUUUUU